GGCGUGGUAGCUCAGCUGGUUAGAGCGCACGACUCAUAAUCGUGAGGUCGGGAGUUCAAGUCUCCCCCACGCCACCA
rnacentral:tRNA from 1 species